GGAGAGAUGUCAGAGUGGUCUAAUGUGCACGCUUGGAAAGCGUGUGUACAGCAAUGUACCGGGGGUUCAAAUCCCCCUCUCUCCG
rnacentral:tRNA from 1 species